AUUGAACGCUGGCGGCAGGCCUAACACAUGCAAGUCGGGCGGUAGCACAGGAGAGCUUGCUCUCCGGGUGACGAGCGGCGGACGGGUGAGUAAUGUCUGGGAAACUGCCUGAUGGAGGGGGAUAACUACUGGAAACGGUAGCUAAUACCGCAUAACGUCGCAAGACCAAAGAGGGGGACCUUCGGGCCUCUUGCCAUCGGAUGUGCCCAGAUGGGAUUAGCUAGCAGGUGAGGUAAAGGCUCACCUAGGCGACGAUCCCUAGCUGGUCUGAGAGGAUGACCAGCCACACUGGAACUGAGACACGGUCCAGACUCCUACGGGAGGCAGCAGUGGGGAAUAUUGCACAAUGGGCGCAAGCCUGAUGCAGCCAUGCCGCGUGUAUGAAGAAGGCCUUCGGGUUGUAAAGUACUUUCAGCGGGGAGGAAGGUGUUGUGGUUAAUAACCACAGCAAUUGACGUUACCCGCAGAAGAAGCACCGGCUAACUCCGUGCCAGCCGCCGCAGUAA
rnacentral:rRNA from 1 species